AGUCAUUGGACAUCUACAGCAAAUUCAAUGGAUUUCUGAAGGAUCCAAAAUAUUCUUCAGCACAUCACAACCACAAGUAUCAAACCUGAACCAAAAAGAAGCAAGUUCUCAACUCAGGUUUUCAGGUGUGUUAUACAAAAUAUAGGAGUCAAAGAACAGAUUUCGGUCACUCAGUAUCACGUAUUGGAGGAUGAAGUCUCUGAAUUCAAGAAUAUGUUUUCUGGUA
rnacentral:lncRNA from 1 species